rnacentral:rRNA from 1 species
CUGCGGCGUGCUACCAUGCAGUCGAACGAGAACGGGUAUUAGCUUGCUAAUACUGUCAGCUAAGUGGCGCACGGGUGAGUAAUAUAUAGGUAAUGUGCCUUCGAGAAGGGGAUAACAGUUGGAAACGACUGCUAACACCCUAUAUGCCUUUAAUACAAAAGUAUGCAAGGGAAACAUUUAUGGCUCGAAGAUCGGCCUGUACAGUAUCAGUUAGUUGGUGAGGUAAUGGCUCACCAAGACAAUGACGCUUAACUGGUUUGAGAGGAUGAUCAGUCACACUGGAACUGAGACACGGUCCAGACUCCUACGGGAGGCAGCAGUGGGGAAUAUUGCACAAUGGACGAAAGUCUGAUGCAGCAACGCCGCGUGGAGGAUGACACAUUUCGGUGCGUAAACUCCUUUUGUAUAGGAAGAUAAUGACGGUACUAUAUGAAUAAGCGCCGGCUAACUCCGUGCCAGCAGCCGCGGUAAUACGGAGGGCGCAAGCGUUACUCGGAAUCACUGGGCGUAAAGAGCGUGUAGGCGGAUAAAUAAGUUGGGAGUGAAAUCCUAUGGCUCAACCAUAGAACUGCUUCCAAAACUGUUUAUCUAGAAUAUGGGAGAGGUAGAUGGAAUUUCUGGUGUAGGGGUAAAAUCCGUAGAGAUCAGAAGGAAUACCGAUUGCGAAGGCGAUCUACUGGAACAUUAUUGACGCUGAGACGCGAAA